GAUGAACGCUGGCGGCGUGCCUAAUACAUGCAAGUCGAGCGAACAGACGAGGAGCUUGCUCCUCUGACGUUAGCGGCGGACGGGUGAGUAACACGUGGAUAACCUACCUAUAAGACUGGGAUAACUUCGGGAAACCGGCGAUAAUACCGGAUAAUAUAUUGAACCGCAUGGUUCAAUAGUGAAAGACGGUUUUGCUGUCACUUAUAGAUGGAUCCGCGCCGCAUUAGCUAGUUGGUAAGGUCACGGCUUACCAAGGCAACGAUGCGUAGCCGACCUGAGAGGGUGAUCGGCCACACUGGAACUGAGACACGGUCCAGGCUCCUACGGGAGGCAGCAGUAGGGAAUCUUCCGCAAUGGGCGAAAGCCUGACGGAGCAACGCCGCGUGAGUGAUGAAGGUCUUCGGAUCGUAAAACUCUGUUAUUAGGUAAGAACAAAUGUGUAAGUAACUAUGCACGUCUUGACGGUACCUAAUCAGAAAGCCACGGCUAACUACGUG
rnacentral:rRNA from 1 species